rnacentral:rRNA from 1 species
CCUACGGGUGGCAGCAGUGGGGAAUAUUGGGCAAUGGGCGCAAGCCUGACCCAGCAAUGCCGCGUGAAGGAAGAAGGCUUUCGGGUUGUAAACUUCUUUGACAGGGGAAGAGCAGAAGACGGUACCCUGAAAACAAGCCACGGCUAACUACGUACCAGCAGCCGCGGUAAUACGUAGGGGGCAAGCGUUGUCCGGAUUUACUGGGUGUAAAGGGCGUGUAGCCGGGAAGGCAAGUCAGAUGUGAAAUCUGGGGGCUCAAACUCCAAAUUGCAUUUGAAACUGGUUUUCUUGAGUACUGGAGAGGCAGACGGAAUGCCUGGUGUAGCGGUGAAAUGCGUAGAUAUAAGGAGGAACACCAGUGGCGAAGGCAGUCUGCUGGACAGAAACUGACGGUGAGGCGCGAAAGCGUGGGGAGCAAACAGGAUUAGAUACCCUUGUAGUC